AACGAACGCUGGCGGCAUGCCUAACACAUGCAAGUCGAACGAGACCUUCGGGUCUAGUGGCGCACGGGUGCGUAACGCGUGGGAACCUGCCCUUAGGUUCGGAAUAACUCCCCGAAAGGGGUGCUAAUACCGGAUAAUGUCUUCGGACCAAAGAUUUAUCGCCUUUGGAUGGGCCCGCGUUGGAUUAGCUAGUUGGUAGGGUAAAAGCCUACCAAGGCGACGAUCCAUAGCUGGUCUGAGAGGAUGAUCAGCCACACUGGGACUGAGACACGGCCCAGACUCCUACGGGAGGCAGCAGUGGGGAAUAUUGGACAAUGGGCGAAAGCCUGAUCCAGCAGUGCCGCGUGAGUGAUGAAGGCCUUAGGGUUGUAAAGCUCUUUUACCCGGGAUGAUAAUGACAGUACCGGGAGAAUAAGCUCCGGCUAACUCCGAG
rnacentral:rRNA from 1 species